AGCUUUGCGCAGUGGCAGUAUCGUAGCCAACGAGGUUUAUCUGAGGCAUGAUUAUUGCUAAUUGAAAACUUCUCCAGGGGCGCCCGGGUGACUCAGUCGGUUAAGCGUCUGACUUUGGCUCAGGUCAUGACCU
rnacentral:snRNA from 1 species